GUCCGGCUGAAGAGUCCCAGAUGGGACGAAAAAUGCGUCCUGGAU
rnacentral:hammerhead_ribozyme from 1 species